rnacentral:rRNA from 1 species
GAUGAAGGCCUCUGGGCUGUAAACCUCUUUUAUCAAGGAAGAAGAUCUGACGGUACUUGAUGAAUAAGCCACGGCUAAUUCCGUGCCAGCAGCCGCGGUAAUACGGGAGUGGCAAGCGUUAUCCGGAAUUAUUGGGCGUAAAGCGUCCGCAGGCGGCCCAACAAGUCUGCUGUUAAAAAGUGGAGCUUAACUCCAUCAUGGCAGUGGAAACUGUUGGGCUAGAGUGUGGUAGGGGCAGAGGGAAUUCCCGGUGUAGCGGUGAAAUGCGUAGAUAUCGGGAAGAACACCAGUGGCGAAGGCGCUCUGCUGGGCCAUCACUGACGCUCAUGGACGAAAGCCAGGGGAGCGAAAGGGAUUAGAUACCCCUGUAGUCCUGGCCGUAAACGAUGAACACUAGGUGUCGGGGGAAUCGACCCCUCCGGUGUCGUAGCCAACGCGUUAAGUGUUCCGCCUGGGGAGUACGCACGCAAGUGUGAAACUCAAAGGAAUUGACGGGGGCCCGCACAAGCGGUGGAGUAUGUGGUUUAAUUCGAUGCAACGCGAAGAACCUUACCAGGGUUUGACAUCCUGCGAAUCUCUUGGAAACUUGAGAGUGCCUUCGGGAACGCAGUGACAGGUGGUGCAUGGCUGUCGUCAGCUCGUGUCGUGAGAUGUUGGGUUAAGUCCCGCAACGAGCGCAACCCACGUCUUUAGUUGCCAGCAUUUAGUUGGGCACUCUAGAGAGACCGCCGGUGAUAAACCGGAGGAAGGUGUGGAUGACGUCAAGUCAUCAUGCCCCUUACAUCCUGGGCUACACACGUACUACAAUGCUACGGACAAAGGGCAGCAAGUUCGCGAGGACAAGCAAAUCCCAUAAACCGUAGCUCAGUUCAGAUCGUAGGCUGCAACUCGCCUACGUGAAGGAGGAAUCGCUAGUAAUCGCAGGUCAGCAUACUGCGGUGAAUACGUUCCCGGGCCUUGUACACACCGCCCGUCACACCAUGGAAGUUGGCCACGCCCGAAGCCGUUACUCCAACCCUUGUGGAGGAGGACGUCGAAGGUGGGGCUGAUGACUGGGGUGAAGUCGUAACAAGGUAGCCGUACCGGAAGGUGCGGCUGGAUCACCUCCUAA